rnacentral:rRNA from 1 species
CCCUUAGAUGUUCUGGGCCGCACGCGCGCUACACUGAUGCAUUCAACGAGCCUAUCCUUGACCGACAGGUCCGGGUGAUCUUUGAAUCUGCAUCGUGACGGGGAUAGAUUAUUGCAAUUAUUAAUCUUCAACGAGGAAUGCCUAGUAGGCGCAAGUCAUCAGCUUGCGUCGAUUACGUCCCUGCCCUUUGUACACACCGCCCGUCGCUCCUACCGAUUGGGUGUGCUGGUGAAAUGUUCGGAUCGGCCGUUUGUCGCGGUUUCCGCGUCAUGUGGCUGAGAAGUUCAUUAAACCCUCCCACCUAGAGGAAGGAGAAGUCGUAACA